GGAUUUAAAUCUUGACAAAUGGGUUACUAUGCUGAAACCUGAUGUUGAAAAUGGAUGUACAAACUAUUGGCUAAUUUCAGGCAAUAGAAUACUUGGAACUCGUUUCUCCGUUUCUUCCUGUUUUUACUUCAGCUGAAACAUAAAUAGGACGACGAUGCCUGAACCAGUUACUUUGUGCAGUGUUAAGAAAAUUGGAGAAGACAACUAUGCCUUUGAGGCGGAAGAAUCACGAGUUUUGUCUAGGGAUAUGGAUUCAUCUUUGAAGACUGCUAACUGAAGGUUGUGUUUGUUUUCCCAACAGACAAUGGCAUCUGCAAACC